CAACAGAGCUAAAUGCCUUAAAGGUACUAGAUCACAUCUGAUCUUGGAAACUAAGCAUGAUCAGCCUUGGCUAGCAUUUGGAUGGGAGACCACCAAGGAAUAACAGGUGCUAUGGAAU
rnacentral:rRNA from 1 species